AAAACUUUUAAUAACAGAUCUCUUAGUUUUAGUAUUAAUAAAGAACGUAGCAAAAUGCAAUAAGUAAUAUAAAUUAUAGAAUUUAGUGAAUUAUUAAAUCUUUAAACGUAUAUUAUGCCUGCUAGCAUUCUAGCAGGUAUACCUAUUUAAGCGUUAUUUUAACCCUUAAGCUCUACUUAGUAUUAAGGCCUUAUAGCUAAUAUAGGCCCUUAAAGGUAGUAGCAGACCCUCCUAAAGCCUCCUUUAUAUAGUAACUUUACAUCUCACACUAAGAUCUAAAAGGACUCUUACUAUAAAACCCCUCAAUUUUCUAAAAGUUAACCUCAGAUUAGGUAGGAAUACCCACUAAACUUAAGUAUAUUAAUAAGUAGAGGAAAAGAAACUAAUAGGAAUUACCUUAAUAACAGCAAGUAAAGCAGCAACAGCUUAAAUUUAAAAUCUAACCUUAAGCCUGAGUUAUAAUUUAUAGAGGAUACUUUUAGUACAAUGCCUUCUAAGUUCCCUAGAACGGGACGCUAGAGAAGGUGAGAGCCCCAUAUAGUUAGACACCAAGCCUUUAUAAAGCUCCUUCAACAAGUUAAGUAGUUUAAGAAUACUACUCAAAAUAGGAGGUAUAUUUCUUCUAAAGCUAAAUACCAGCUAGAGACUAAUAGCGUAUAAGUAGAGUGAUUAAAAGAUAAAAAGCACUUUAAAAAGAGGGUUAAAUAGUAUAUAAAAUUAUUAAAAGGGAAGUACUUAUAACUAGACUUAUAUCUAGUAAAUCACCUAGCUCUUACAGCUAAAGCACUUCGCUAGCUCAAGCUAGCAUCAGCUUACUAUUAGAGAUAAAAGCUUUAAGAAUAUAGCUUUCUUUAAAGAGUAUUAUAGCCUAUUAUAUAAUACCUUUUAGUAAGCUGAGGUACAUACUCUAUAAGGAUACUAGUAUAAUAGUUAUUAGCAACCUAUCUUAAAACACAAACUAAGAAGUUAACCUUAUAUAUAAGUAUUUAGGUAUUAAACCCCUAUAUAUAAUAAAAGUGAACGUAAGUGAGAGCUUUAGCAUAUCAUCAACUAAUCCUAAUAUUCUUAGAUAGAUUUAAGUAAGAGUAUAUAAAGUUAAACCUAAAAGAAGGUAAACUAUAUAUAUAUAAAGUAAAGCUAGAGGAAACUCUAGUAGAGGCUUAUAGUAGUUCUAAUAUGCAAAUUAAUUAUUAAAUAUGCAUAUAGGGGCGAAAGACUAAUUAAACCUUCUAGUAGCUAAUUUCUACUAAAGUUUCCCUUAGGAUAGCAGUAUUAAACUUAGUUUUAUAAGGUAAAGCAAAUAAUUAGGGACUUAGGAGCGCUAUAUUACCUUUAUCUAUUCUUAAACUUUAAAUAUAUAAGAAGCCUUUAUUACUUAAUUAAACGUAAGUAUUUAAAUAUAUUAAUACUAGUAGGCUAUUUUUAGUAAGUAGAACUAGUGAUAUAAGAUAAACUAAACGUAAAGUUAAGAUAUUAAAGUAGACGCUUAUUAAAUACUAUAAAAGGUGUUAGUAUAUCUUAAUAGUAGGAUAGUAGCUAUAAAAGUUAGAAUCUACUAAGGACUAUAUAAUAACUUACCUACUAAAUAUAUUAGCCCUAAAAAUAGAUAGUACUUAAGUAUCUCACCUAUACCUCACCCUCAGUAUAGAAAUAAUAUGCUGAGGAGUAGGCAGAUAUAGAGGUUAUAAUAAAGCCUAAAGCGUAAGCUUAAGUAGAACAGCCUUUAGUAUAGAUCUUAAUAGUAAUAGCAAAUACUUUAAUAAGAACUUAAAGGACUAAAGUAGGGAAAGGUUCUAUAUAAAUAGCAGUUAGAUAUAAGUUAGUUAAUCCUAAGCUAUAGGGAAGUUUUAUUUCAAAAGGGCAUUUAUACCCUAUAUAGCAAAAGGGAAGCUAGUUAAUAUUCUAGCACUUAGAUAUAGGUUUUACGCAGUAAUAUAACUAAACAUAGAGAUAAUAGUAGGGGCUCUAAGUAGAGUUCUCUUUUCUUUUUAAUAGUCUAUUACCUUAAAAUCAGUUUAUCUAGAGCUAAGGUUUAAUAGCUAGAAAAGCUUAGCACUUCUGUUAGGUUUAGUAUAUUCUUAAUAUCCCUUAAAAAUCUAUAGAAAGGAAUAAUUCUCACACUAAGUUAUACUUAUAACUAUAGCAGGUCUCUAAGGUGAAUAGCCUCUAGUUAAUAGAAUAAUAUAGAUAAGGGAAGUUAGUAAAAUAGAUUUAUAACUUUAAGAUAAGGAUUAGCUCUAAGGGUUAGGUAUAUUAAGCUUUAAGUAGACAGCUUAGGAGUAGGUUGCUACUAGCUAGGUUUCUAGCUAGAGGCUUCUAGCAUUUAGGUUCUAACGCCCUUAGUAGGCUUUAGCUAUUUAGUAUAUAGUUAAUAACUAACUUAGAACUAGUAUAAAUAAGGGGAAUCUAACUAUCUAAUUAAAAUAUAGUAUUAUAAUAGCUAGAAAGUGGUGUUAACGUAAUAUGAUUUCUACUUAAUGCUCUAAAUAUUAAAGUGAAGUAAUUUAACUAAGCGUAGGUAAACAGUAAGAGUAACUAUAACUUAAAUAGUUAGCUAGAGGGCUUAGAGAUAGGUUCCUCUAUUAAGAGGGUUAUUAGAAUAGGAGUGAAAAGCUACCUAUUAGUGAGGCGUCCCCUAGGGCGCCUUAUAACACUAUUAAAUUAGCAGGAAGUCUCUAAGGCUUAAUAAUACUACAGCCUAAUAAAAAAAGGGUGUGCACUAGGGAUAGCACCUUUAGGGAUAGUAAUAGUUGUUAAGAUAUAUAGGUAACCUAUAGCUAAGCCUUAAGUCCCCCUUCUAGGGGGGAUAUAGGUGCAGUUUAAUAACUAAAUAGCAGUAGGUUUGCUAGAGGGAAACCCCCCUAGUAAGUCUAAGAUAUAGUCUACAGCAUGCCUAAAAUGGUAUCACCUGCCUAAAUGCUCUUAAGGUAGCUAAAUACCUCGUUAUCUAAUUAGUAAUAUGUAUAAAUAGAUUAAUAAGAUUCCUACUAUCUCUAUCUACUAUCUAGCGAAACUACAGCUAAGAGAAUAGGUUUAGUAGAAUUAGCAGGAAAAGAAGACCCUAUUAAGCUUAACUCUAGUUUAAUAUUAUAAAAAGAUAUAAGAGGUGUAGAAUAAGUAAAAGCUUUAGCGCUAGUGAAAUACUACUACUCCUAUUAUUUUUUUACUUAUUUAAUAAAGCAAGGCUAGAUUUAUAUCUAACUUCUAGUUUUAAGGUCUUUUGUAAGCUAACCUAAGUUAAAGAUAUUAUUAAGUAGGGAGUUUAGCUAGGGUAGCAUAUCUAUUAAAUUAUAAUAUAGAUAUCCUAAGGGGGGCUUAUAGAGAAUAGAAAUCUCUAGUAGAAUAAAAGGGUAAAAGUCCCCUUAAUUUUAAUUUUCAGUGUGAAUAUAAACUAUAAAAGUAUAGCCUAUUAAUCCUUUAGUCCCUUAAAAUUUAAAGCUAGAGGUGCUAGAAAAGUUACUAUAAAGAUAACUAGCUUAUAGCAGCUAAGCAUUCAUAGCAAUAUCACUUUUUAAUCCUUUAAUAUUAGCUCUUCCUAUCAUACUGAAGCAGAAUUUAGUAAGCGUUAGAUUAUUCACCUACUAAUAGGGAACGUAAGCUAGGUUUAAACUAUUAUAAGACAGGUUAGUUUUACCUUACUAAUAACCUUAUCGCAAUAGUAAUUAAGCUUAAUAUAAAAGGAACUACUUAUUUAGAUAAUUAGUUUUUACAGCUAUCUAACUAAGCAGUACUAUAAAGCUACUAUCUACUAGAUAAUAGCUGAACACCUCUAAAUUAAAAUCUAUACUAAAACAUAAUAAUACCUCCUAUACGUAUAGAUAGAUAUAAAUAGACUUCAACUUAGCGUCUUAAUAGGUAAUUCCUCUACUGCUCUUAAAGUAAGUAGUAAUAUUUCGCAAAUUAUAAUUUCAGUAUAAGUGGGGUUAAAUCCUUUAUAGACGACUUAGAUAUGCAAAAAGGUCCUAUAAGCAGUAGAGUAGCCUUAUUAUUAUAAUCUGCUGAGGGUAAGCCCUCCUUUACCUCAAUUUCCUUAUAAACUUAGC
rnacentral:rRNA from 1 species